rnacentral:rRNA from 1 species
UCGCCCUUAGUUGCCAGCAUUAGUUGGGCACUCUAAGGGGACUGCCGGUGAUAAGCCGAGAGGAAGGUGGGGAGUGACGUCAAGUCCUCAUGGCCCUUACGGGCUGGGCUACACACGUGCUACAAUGGUGGUGACAGUGGGCAGCGAGCACGCGAGUGUGAGCUAAUCUCCAAAAGCCAUCUCAGUUCGGAUUGCACUUUGCAACUCGAGUGCAUGAAGUUGGAAUCGCUAGUAAUCGCGGAUCAGCAUGCCGCGGUGAAUACGUUCCCGGGCCUU